GACGAACGCUGGCGGCGUGCUUAACACAUGCAAGUCGAACGGAAAGGCCCUGCUUUUGUGGGGUGCUCGAGUGGCGAACGGGUGAGUAACACGUGAGUAACCUGCCCUUGACUUUGGGAUAACUUCAGGAAACUGGGGCUAAUACCGGAUAGGAGCUCCUGCUGCAUGGUGGGGGUUGGAAAGUUUCGGCGGUUGGGGAUGGACUCGCGGCUUAUCAGCUUGUUGGUGGGGUAGUGGCUUACCAAGGCUUUGACGGGUAGCCGGCCUGAGAGGGUGACCGGCCACAUUGGGACUGAGAUACGGCCCAGACUCCUACGGGAGGCAGCAGUGGGGAAUAUUGCACAAUGGGCGGAAGCCUGAUGCAGCAACGCCGCGUGCGGGAUGAUGGCCUUCGGGUUGUAAACCGCUUUCGCCUGUGACGAAGCGUGAGUGACGGUAAUGGGUAAAGAAGCACCGGCUAACUACGUGCCAGCAGCCGCGGUGAUACGUAGGGUGCGAGCGUUGUCCGGAUUUAUUGGGCGUAAAGGGCUCGUAGGUGGUUGAUCGCGUCGGAAGUGUAAUCUUGGGGCUUAACCCUGAGCGUGCUUUCGAUACGGGUUGACUUGAGGAAGGUAGGGGAGAAUGGAAUUCCUGGUGGAGCGGUGGAAUGCGCAGAUAUCAGGAGGAACACCAGUGGCGAAGGCGGUUCUCUGGGCCUUUCCUGACGCUGAGGAGCGAAAGCGUGGGGAGCGAACAGGCUUAGAUACCCUGGUAGUCCACGCUGUAAACGGUGGGUACUAGGUGUGGGGUCCAUUCCACGGGUUCCGUGCCGUAGCUAACGCUUUAAGUACCCCGCCUGGGGAGUACGGCCGCAAGGCUAAAACUCAAAGGAAUUGACGGGGCCCCGCACAAGCGGCGGAGCAUGCGGAUUAAUUCGAUGCAACGCGUAGAACCUUACCUGGGUUUGACAUGGAUCGGGAGUGCUCAGAGAUGGGUGUGCCUCUUUUGGGGUCGGUUCACAGGUGGUGCAUGGCUGUCGUCAGCUCGUGUCGUGAGAUGUUGGGUUAAGUCCCGCAACGAGCGCAACCCUUGUUCACUGUUGCCAGCACGUUAUGGUGGGGACUCAGUGGAGACCGCCGGGGUCAACUCGGAGGAAGGUGGGGAUGACGUCAAGUCAUCAUGCCCCUUAUGUCCAGGGCUUCACGCAUGCUACAAUGGCUGGUACAGAGAGUGGCGAGCCUGUGAGGGUGAGCGAAUCUCGGAAAGUCGGUCUCAGUUCGGAUUGGGGUCUGCAACUCGACCUCAUGAAGUCGGAGUCGCUAGUAAUCGCAGAUCAGCAACGCUGCGGUGAAUACGUUCCCGGGGCU
rnacentral:rRNA from 1 species